rnacentral:rRNA from 1 species
UACGAAGGGGGCUAGCGUUGUUCGGAAUUACUGGGCGUAAAGCGCACGUAGGCGGUGGUCUUUGUCAGAGGUGAAAGCCCGGGGCUCAACUCCGGAAUUGCCUUUGAAACGGGACCGCUUGAGUCCGAGAGAGGGUGGCGGAAUUCCUAGUGUAGAGGUGAAAUUCGUAGAUAUUAGGAAAAACACCAGUGGCGAAGGCGGCCACCUGGCUCGGUACUGACGCUCAGGUGCGAAAGCGUGGGGAGCAAACAGG